UACGGAGGGAGCUAGCGUUGUUCGGAAUUACUGGGCGUAAAGCGCGCGUAGGCGGCUUUGUAAGUUAGAGGUGAAAGCCCGGGGCUCAACCCCGGAAUUGCCUUUAAGACUGCAUCGCUAGAAUCCAGGAGAGGUGAGUGGAAUUCCGAGUGUAGAGGUGAAAUUCGUAGAUAUUCGGAGGAACACCAGAAGCGAAGGCGGCUCACUGGCCCGAUACUGACGCUGAGGCGCGAAAGCGUGGGGAGCAAACAGG
rnacentral:rRNA from 1 species